rnacentral:rRNA from 1 species
GCGCAGCAGGCGCGAAACCUUUACAAUGCCUGAAAGGGUGAUAAGGGCAUCCUGAGUGCUCCAGCAUUGCUGGGGCUUUUCCGGAGUGUAAAAAGCUCCGGGAAUAAGUGGUGGGUAAGACGGGUGCCAGCCAUUUACAUGUCUUACAAUUAAAACUCUAAGUUUCAAAGGCAUGUAAACUGGAAGCCGCGGUAAUACCCGCGCCACAAGUGGUGAUCACGGUUAUUGGGUCUAGAGCGUUCGUAGCCGGCCUAAUAAAUUCUUGGUGAAAUCCCGUGUAAAACAUGGGAAGAGCUAAGAACACUAUUAGGCUAGGGACCAGGAGAGGCUGAGGGUACUCCAAGGGUAGGGGUUAAAUACUGAAAGAGGUUACUUUCGU